CCCUUAGAUGUUCUGGGCCGCACGCGCGCUACACUGAUGCAUUCAACGAGUCUAAAACCUGCUCUGAUAGGGGUGGGUAAUCUUUUGAAUGUGCACCGUGAUUGGGAUAGAUGAUUGCAAUUUUUCAUCUUCAACGAGGAAUGCCUAGUAAACGCAAGUCAUCAGCUUGCAUUGAUUACGUCCCUGCCCUUUGUACACACCGCCCGUCGCUCCUACCGAUUGAAUGAUCCGAUGAAUAUCAUGGAUUGAGGAUGCAAGUAGGUUCGCCUAUCUUCAUCUUCGAGAAGUGAAGUAAAUCUUAUCAUUUAGAGGAAGGAGAAGUCGUAACA
rnacentral:rRNA from 1 species